rnacentral:rRNA from 1 species
UGGCUCAGAUUGAACGCUGGCGGCAUGCUUUACACAUGCAAGUCGGACGGCAGCACAGAGAAGCUUGCUUCUUGGGUGGCGAGUGGCGAACGGGUGAGUAAUGUAUUGGAACGUACCGAGUAAUGGGGGAUAACUAAUCGAAAGAUUAGCUAAUACCGCAUACGUCCUGAGGGAGAAAGCGGGGGAUCUUCGGACCUCGCGUUAUUCGAGCGGCCAAUAUCUGAUUAGCUAGUUGGUGGGGUAAAGGCCUACCAAGGCGACGAUCAGUAGCGGGUCUGAGAGGAUGAUCCGCCACACUGGGACUGAGACACGGCCCAGACUCCUACGGGAGGCAGCAGUGGGGAAUUUUGGACAAUGGGCGCAAGCCUGAUCCAGCAAUGCCGCGUGUGUGAUGAAGGCCUUCGGGUUGUAAAGCACUUUUGGCGGGAACGAAAAGGACUGUGCCAAUACCACGGUUCGAUGACGGUACCCGCAGAAUAAGCACCGGCUAACUACGUGCCAGCAGCCGCGGUAAUACGUAGGGUGCGAGCGUUAAUCGGAAUUACUGGGCGUAAAGAGUGCGCAGGCGGUUUUGCAAGACCGAUGUGAAAUCCCCGGGCUUAACCUGGGAACUGCAUUGGUGACUGCAAGGCUAGAGUGUGUCAGAGGGAGGUGGAACUCCGCAUGUAGCAGUGAAAUGCGUAGAUAUGCGGAAGAACACCGAUGGCGAAGCAGCCUCCUGGGAUACACUGACGCUCAUGCACGAAAGCGGUGGGGGAGCAAACAGGAUUAGGAUACCCU